rnacentral:rRNA from 1 species
ACGGGUGAGUAACACGUAGGCAACCUGCCCUCAAGCUUGGGACAACUACCGGAAACGGUAGCUAAUACCGAAUACUUGUUUCCUUCGCCUGAAGGAAACUGGAAAGACGGAGCAAUCUGUCACUUGAGGAUGGGCCUGCGGCGCAUUAGCUAGUUGGUGAGGUAACGGCUCACCAAGGCGACGAUGCGUAGCCGACCUGAGAGGGUGAUCGGCCACACUGGGACUGAGACACGGCCCAGACUCCUACGGGAGGCAGCAGUAGGGAAUCUUCCGCAAUGGGCGAAAGCCUGACGGAGCAAUGCCGCGUGAGUGAUGAAGGUUUUCGGAUCGUAAAGCUCUGUUGCCAGGGAAGAACGCUUAGGAGAGUAACUGCUCCUGAGGUGACGGUACCUGAGAAGAAAGCCCCGGCUAACUACGUGCCAGCAGCCGCGGUAAUACGUAGGGGGCAAGCGUUGUCCGGAAUUAUUGGGCGUAAAGCGCGCGCAGGCGGUCAUUUAAGUCUGGUGUUUAAUCCCGGGGCUCAACCCCGGAUCGCACUGGAAACUGGGUGACUUGAGUGCAGAAGAGGAGAGUGGAAUUC